rnacentral:rRNA from 1 species
GUCCACGCGGUAAACGAUGUCAACUAGCCGUUGGAAUGGUAAUCCUUUUAGUGGCGCAGCUAACGCACUAAGUUGACCGCCUGGGGAGUACGGUCGCAAGAUUAAAACUCAAAUGAAUUGACGGGGGCCCCGCACAAGCGGUGGAGCAUGUGGUUUAAUUCGACGCAACGCGAAGAACCUUACCUACUCUUGACAUCCAGAGAACUUGGCAGAGAUGCCUUGGUGCCUUCGGGAGCUCUGAGACAGGUGCUGCAUGGCUGUCGU